rnacentral:rRNA from 1 species
GACGUAGGGCGCGAGCGUUGUCCGGAAUUACUGGGCGUAAAGCGCACGUAGGCGGACUAUUAAGUCAGGGGUGAAAUCCCAAGGCUCAACCUUGGAACUGCCUUUGAUACUGGGGAUCUCGAGUCCGGAAGAGGUGAGUGGAACUGCGAGUGUAGAGGUGAAAUUCGUAGAUAUUCGCAAGAACACCAGUGGCGAAGGCGGCUCACUGGUCCGGUACUGACGCUGAGGUGCGAAAGCGUGGGGAGCAAACAGGG